rnacentral:rRNA from 1 species
CACCACGCUGUGGAACACCGGCGCGCGCAUUAACGAAGCGCUGGCCCUGACCCGGGGAGAUUUCAGCCUGGCACCGCCCUACCCCUACGUGCAGCUGGCCACCCUCAAGCAGCGCGGUGAAAACGCAGGUCGGACGCGCGUCGUGUAGGGAAAGAGUGCAGAUCUCGGUGGUCGCCGUAUCAUUAAAAAAAAAAGUCUUGGUCGUAGAUCACUGUUUGGAUUAGGAGCCCCUACCGGCUUACCGAAUUCAGUCAAACUCCGAAUGCCAAUGACUUAUCCUUGGGAGUCAGACUGCGAGUGAUAAGAUCCGUAGUCGAAAGGGAAACAGCCCAGACCGCCAGCUAAGGUCCCAAAGUAUACGUUAAGUGGAAAAGGAUGUGGAGUUGCUUAGACAACCAGGAUGUUGGCUUAGAAGCAGCCACCAUUUAAAGAGUGCGUAAUAGCUCACUGGUCGAGUGACUCUGCGCCGAAAAUGUACCGGGGCUAAACGUAUCACCGAAGCUGCGGACUGUUCUUCGAACAGUGGUAGGAGAGCGUUCUAAGGGCUGUGAAGCCAGACCGGAAGGACUGGUGGAGCGCUUAGAAGUGAGAAUGCCGGUAUGAGUAGCGAAAGAGGGGUGAGAAUCCCCUCCACCGAAUGCCUAAGGUUUCCUGAGGAAGGCUCGUCCGCUCAGGGUUAGUCGGGACCUAAGCCGAGGCCGAAAGGCGUAGGCGAUGGACAACAGGUUGAUAUUCCUGUACCACCUCCUCACCAUUUGAGCAAUGGGGGGACGCAGGAGGAUAGGGUAAGCGCGGUAUUGGAUAUCCGCGUCCAAGCAGUUAGGCUGGGAAAUAGGCAAAUCCGUUUCCCAUAAGGCUGAGCUGUGAUGGCGAGCGAAAUAUAGUAGCGAAGUUCCUGAUUCCACACUGCCAAGAAAAGCCUCUAGCGAGGUGAGAGGUGCCCGUACCGCAAACCGACACAGGUAGGCGAGGAGAGAAUCCUAAGGUGAUCGAGAGAACUCUCGUUAAGGAACUCGGCAAAAUGACCCCGUAACUUCGGGAGAAGGGGUGCUCUGUUAGGGUGCAAGCCCGAGAGAGCCGCAGUGAAUAGGCCCAGGCGACUGUUUAGCAAAAACACAGGUCUCUGCGAAGCCGUAAGGCGAAGUAUAGGGGCUGACGCCUGCCCGGUGCUGGAAGGUUAAGAGGAGCGCUUAGCGUAAGCGAAGGUGCGAAUUGAAGCCCCAGUAAACGGCGGCCGUAACUAUAACGGUCCUAAGGUAGCGAAAUUCCUUGUCGGGUAAGUUCCGACCCGCACGAAAGGCGCAACGAUCUGGGCACUGUCUCAACGAGAGACUCGGUGAAAUUAUAGUACCUGUGAAGAUGCAGGUUACCCGCGACAGGACGGAAAGACCCCGUGGAGCUUUACUGCAGCCUGAUAUUGAAUGUUGGUACAGCUUGUACAGGAUAGGUAGGAGCCUUGGAAACCGGAGCGCCAGCUUCGGUGGAGGCAUCGGUGGGAUACUACCCUGGCUGUAUUGACCUUCUAACCCGCCGCCCUUAUCGGGCGGGGAGACAGUGUCAGGUGGGCAGUUUGACUGGGCCGCGAGCCUCCUAAAAGGAAAACGAGGCGCCUAAAGUUUCCCUCAGAAUGGUUGGAAAUCAUCCGCAGAGCGUAAAGUCACAAGGGAUCUUGACAGCAAAACCUACAAAACGAGCAGGGACCAAAGUCGGGUUUAGUGAUGCGAUGGUUCCGCUUGGAAGGGCCACCGCCCC